rnacentral:misc_RNA from 1 species
AAGUCGUAACAAGGUUUCCGUAGGUGAACCUGCGGAAGGAUCAUUAGUGAAUUAAAGGCGGCUCUUCUGAGCGCCAAAUCUUCACCUCCUCACACUUGUGCACUGUUUUCGGAGCUGUUCGGUUGGGCUCUGGCGGGGUUGAGUUCAUUCAUUUGGGCUUUUCCUUUGCUCUGGCCGCCCCGACGGUUUCCAUCAUCAUAAACCCUAAAGUCAUUGGAUGUAUCUGUAUUUUUGAAACAAAAUAAAACUUUCAACAACGGAUCUCUUGGCUCUCC